rnacentral:rRNA from 1 species
UACACAUGCAGUCGAACGGUGAAAGCGGAUGNGCGUCUGCCUGGAUCAGUGGCGAACGGGUGAGUAACACGUGAGCAAUCUGCCCUUGACUCUGGGAUAAGCGCUGGAAACGGCGUCUAAUACCGGAUACGAGCUGCGAAGNNAUCUUCAGCAGUUGGAAAGAACUUCGGUCAAGGAUGAGCUCGCGGCCUAUCAGCUUGUUGGUGAGGUAACGGCUCACCAAGGCGUCGACGGGUAGCCGGCCUGAGAGGGUGACCGGCCACACUGGGACUGAGACACGGCCCAGACUCCUACGGGAGGCAGCAGUGGGGAAUAUUGCACAAUGGGCGCA